GAUGAACGCUGGCGGCGUGCCUAACACAUGCAAGUCGACCGAGAAAAUGUAAGGCGAAACUUCGGUCUGGCGAUAACAUGGAAGUCGGCGGACGGGUGAGUAACGCGUAGGCAACCUGCCCCUUACAGAGGGAUAGCAUCGGGACACCGGAACUAACACCUCAUAACGCAUUUUACACACCUGCUUGCGAUGCCAGCGAUUUAUCGGUAAGGGAUGGGCCUGGGUCUGAUUAGCUAGUUGGUAAGGUAACGGCUUACCAAGGCAACGAUCAGUAGCCGACCUGAGAGGGUAAUCGGCCACAUUGGAACUGAGACACGGUCCAAACUCCUACGGGAGGCAGCAGUGGGGAAUAUUGCACAAUGGGCGAAAGCCUGAUGCAGCAACGCCGCGUGAGCGAAGAAGGCCUUUGGGUCGUAAAGCUCUGUCGGAAGGGAAGAAACAAAUGACGGUACCUGCUGAGGAAGCCCCGGCUAACUACGUGCCAGCCGCCGCCGUAA
rnacentral:rRNA from 1 species